rnacentral:tRNA from 1 species
GGAAAGAGGUCUCGGUAUGAUAGGUUAAUAGCCUAUCGGGGGUUCGAAUCCCCCUCUCUCCGCCA